CGGCAGGCCUAACACAUGCAAGUCGAACGGUAGCACAGAGAGCUUGCGUCUACGGGUGACGAGUGGCGGACGGGUGAGUAAUGUCUGGGAAACUGCCCGAUGAGGGAGUAACUACUGAACGGUAGCUAAUACCGCAUAACGUCGCAAGACCAAAGAGGGGGACCUUCGGGCCUCUUGCCAUCGGAUGUGCCCAGAUGGGAUUAGCUUGUAGGUGAGGUAACGGCUCACCUAGGCGACGAUCCCUAGCUGGUCUGAGAGGAUGACCAGCCACACUGGAACUGAGACACGGUCCAGACUCCUACGGGAGGCAGCAGUGGGGAAUAUUGCACAAUGGGCGCAAGCCUGAUGCAGCCAUGCCGCGUGUAUGAAGAAGGCCUUCGGGUUGUAAAGUACUUUCAGCGGGGAGGAAGGGAGUGAGGUUAAUAACCUUAUUCAUUGACGUUACCCGCAGAAGAAGCACCGGCUAACUCCGUG
rnacentral:rRNA from 1 species